AUGUAAUGACUCAUUUCCUCGAUGUACAUAAUGCGAAAGUCAAAUCUUGUCAAGAUGUUUACUUUGAUCAAUAUUGAACAAACCGUGCGCCAGUGCUCUGAUUAAUGUUAACAUACAAAGUUAAUGACGAAUAAUUCAAAGGAUAUUGUUGUUGUUUUUACGUCUGGUUGUUGUGAUGGUUGAUAAUAUUAAUAUUUUCUUAUACCAGGGGGCUGCCGCCCCUGGACCCCCGCAAAUGUCAGCUUAUUUUGGUUUAAUUCAUCAUACGAUAACGCAUUUCUUCGAGUUUAUGUGCCUCAAUUACAAUUUUCGUAGUUCUCGUGAUAAAAAAAGUAUCUCAA